CAUUGUGAAGUCGGGGGAAGGCUGGCAGAGGGGCCCAGUCUAGUCUGUGACCUGAGCCAUCAUGGUAGGGUGUCCAGGGUGAGGGGAGGGUGGUGUGAAUCCCCAGUAAUGCAGGUCCUUUCCAGGCCAGGCCCCUGGUCCCCAGGAGUGCGGGGAUGCCUGAGGUCUACUGCUGCCUUAUCCAGAGCUGCCAUCCCCGGCGAUGACUCAGAGUUCCUGUGGCCCCAGCAUCAUCCCUCCAUCCCUGGCUGUGAGGCAGGAGCAGAGUUGCAGACCUGAGAGGCCUUGAAUUUGUUUGAUAUAGGACUUUGCCACCAGACAAAGUGCUUUGCCUGUGAGGUCUGGCUUGGCCUGGCCUCUGAGAAAGAACAAACACAGACCUCACUGGAAGGAACCUGGAGAACGGGAGAGGAGAGGCUGCUGCUGUCUGCCCUCCCAGCAGCAGAUAUAAAGACAAUGGGCUUCUAAGUCCCCUAGAGUCCCAGCUGUGUAAUUUAAGGCAAAUAUAAUUUCUGACCUACGUAAUGAUGUAUGCACAAGAAGCCUCUCUUGAAUGUAUUAAUUCAGUAAACAGUUAUGGAGUCCUUACAAUGUGCUAGUGGGACUUUGAAGAUGAAUCCAAAUUUGGAUCCUGGCCUGGAAAGGCUCAAAGCCCAAUAUGGGAGCCUGGAUACAAAUGUGAAACUUAUCUUCUUUUAUUAACCAAUCAAUCACCUCCUGCCAAAACAACAUCAGCAAAAACAACAGAAAAAAACAAAAACAAAAACAAAAACAAAUCUGUGUACACAAGACCUUUGUUUCCACAGCAGACUUGGCUAAAGGUUUGGGCAUGCAUAUGCAUACCCCCAAAAUUAAAAAUGGAAAAUUGAACA
rnacentral:lncRNA from 1 species